AUUGUUGUGGCCGAGAGGUUGAGGCGAUGGACUUGAAAUCCAUUGGGGUCUCCCUGCGCAGGUUCUAGUCCUGUCAACAACG
rnacentral:tRNA from 1 species